CCUACGGGAGGCUGCAGUGGGGAAUAUUGGACAAUGGGGGAACCCUGAUCCAGCCAUGCCGCGUGUGUGAAGAAGGCCCUCGGGUUGUAAAGCACUUUCAGUGAGGAAGAACGCCUGGUGGUUAAUACCCAUCAGGAAAGACAUCACUCACAGAAGAAGCACCGGCUAACUCCGUGCCAGCAGCCGCGGUAAUACGGAGGGUGCGAGCGUUAAUCGGAAUUACUGGGCGUAAAGCGCGCGUAGGUGGCUUGAUAAGCCGGUUGUGAAAGCCCCGGGCUCAACCUGGGAACGGCAUCCGGAACUGUCAAGCUAGAGUGCAGGAGAGGAAGGUAGAAUUCCCGGUGUAGCGGUGAAAUGCGUAGAGAUCGGGAGGAAUACCAGUGGCGAAGGCGGCCUUCUGGACUGACACUGACACUGAGGUGCGAAAGCGUGGGUAGCAAACAGGAUUAGAUACCCUGGUAGUC
rnacentral:rRNA from 1 species